rnacentral:lncRNA from 1 species
GGGGAACUCAACUUCAGGUUGAGAGCAUAAUAAUAAUAAAUGUGAGACUCAACAACACUACAGUUGCAAAAGCCACAUUCUUCUCGAGGUCCUGAAGCACAAUCACACCCUCAAAGAAAAGAGAGCAGCAAUUAGUCAUGAACAACAAUAAGUAAGUUUAACUAUUACUAAUAAUUUGCAUCGCAGUUACAUUAACUUGCGUCAGCAUUCACAGCGAAGCAAGUGACGUAAUCUAGCUAUGGACAGGGAUCGACUAUCGCGAUAACUGUCGCAAAUAUCGCGCAACUGUCACGACUAUCACGAUCGCUGUCCGACUAUCACGAGCACUGUCGCGACCGUCGCAAUGACACUCGGCGAAACUAUAUAGGCCUAAUCUGUUAAGGCCGACAUUAUUUUUAAAAAGUGUAGGGUUUUCUUAAAACGCAGUUUCUUGUAUUUAACGCUAGGCGGACAGCUAUUAUCAGAAUACUAUGAGAUUUUUAUUGCAAUUCUUACCUUCUAAUUGUCACCUCGGGUGUCGCUCUCCAGACCAACGCUCGUGCUUUCCAAGCGCACGCGCAGAAGGCAGAGACAAAAAUAUAAAUGAAGCUGUGAUAAUAAGGCUUAGUGGAAACACGCAUUCGCAGACAGUUCAGACUCGGAACAGGAUGAUGAUCCGGCUGAAGCCAAGAUUUUCUGUCUUGUUUUUAUCAUCUUGAAAAGAAGCAGCCGGCUCCUGUAACACGCCGAGGCGGCCGGGGAAGGGGGCGGAGACGGGGACAAGCCAGCCACAGCUGGGGGCUAAUUACUGCCUCCAUUAGACCGAGACCGAGACCACGACCACGACCGAGAGUCUGCGGACGACGCAGCCGAGACCGAGUCGGCUCCCCCCCCCCUCUUGUCUCCUCCCAGGCGCCGCGGCUGAAUAAAUAAAAGACGCCAACAGGCGAGCGCUGCA